rnacentral:rRNA from 1 species
UAAACUACGAUUAGAUACCCUAUUAUUUUAAUUGUAAAUAAGUAUGAGGCUUGAGUAGUAGUAGAUAUGUUCUUGAAACUCAAAGAAUUUGGCGGUGUUUUAGUCCUUUCAGAGGAACCUGUCCCAUAAUCGAUAGUCCACGUUUUACCUUACUUAAUUUUGUAGUUCAGCUUGUAUACCGCCGUCGUCAGAAUGUCCUUUGAGGGUUAAAAUUUUCUUAAUUUUGAAUUAGAAGUGAUGUCAGGUCAAGGUGCAGUUUAUAAUUAAGGGGAGAUGGGUUACAAUAAAUUUAUUUAUUACGUAUGAUGAAAUGAAAUAAUAUUUGUUUUAAGGUGGAUUUGAUUGUAAUUAGUUUAAUUAAAUUAAUUUGAUUUUGGCUCUAAAACAUGCACACAUCGCCCGUCGCUCUUA